UACGUAGGGCGCAAGCGUUAUCCGGAAGUAUUGGGCGUAAAGAGCUCGUAGGCGGUUUGUCGCGUCUGCCGUGAAAGUCCGGGGCUCAACUCCGGAUCUGCGGUGGGUACGGGCAGACUAGAGUGAUGUAGGGGAGACUGGAAUUCCUGGUGUAGCGGUGAAAUGCGCAGAUAUCAGGAGGAACACCGAUGGCGAAGGCAGGUCUCUGGGCAUUAACUGACGCUGAGGAGCGAAAGCAUGGGGAGCGAACAGG
rnacentral:rRNA from 1 species